UACGUAGGGAGCAAGCGUUGUCCGGAAUCAUUGGGCGUAAAGCGCGCGUAGGUGGCUCUGUAAGUCCGUUGUGAAAGUCAAAGGCUCAACCUUUGAAAGCCGAUGGAUACUGCAGAGCUAGAGUACGGAAGAGGCGAGUGGAAUUCCUGGUGUAGCGGUGGAAUGCGCAGAUAUCAGGAGGAACACCAUGGCGAAGGCAGCUCGCUGGGACGGUACUGACGCUGAGGCGCGAAAGCGUGGGGAGCAAACAGG
rnacentral:rRNA from 1 species